GCUCCUUUAGCAGAGGGAAGAAUGUUUGUAGGGGCCCUUAAAUGGAAUUCCCAGAAUCCCCCAGGAGUGGGCAGUUAGGAAUACUCUACACUCUCUGGGAAGCUGACUCUUAGAGGGGAGGUAUUUGGAGAGUUUUCCUGAGAUCCCUCUGGAAAGAGGAAAGAGACUUGACUUGGAAAACUAAUAUCUUUGAAGGUGGGAAAAGAAUUGUUGGAGUGAAGAUCAGUUCUCCUGAAAGGGAGAAACUGCUGCCAAUAGGAGGAGCUGUUUUGCUCUCACUGAGUGAACCUGAGGUUUUACACCUGUGAAGAAGUUUUCUUCCCACCUACGGUCAUAAGAAGUCUCACUCAUAUGGCAUUGAGCAUCCCCCAAUUUGAUGAAUGUCUGAAGACUACAGAAGUCAUCAUACCCACCAGGCUGAAGAAAUGAUUUUCCAUAUAGAAGACAAAGGGGUGUAGCAUAUCUGGAAAAGUGCGGGAAGUCUCAGGAAUUUUCCAUACAGAAUCAGAAAGCAAGCAACCUUGAUGAGAUCCAUUCCUUGGUAUAUACUACUAGAUACAGAACCCUUUAUUUGAAAAACAGAAAGUACUUAUCUAUAUCUUGGCAACAGAAAAUUAUUGGAG
rnacentral:lncRNA from 1 species